GAUGAACGCUGGCGGCGUGCCUAAUACAUGCAAGUCGAGCGAACAGACAAGGAGCUUGCUCCUUUGACGUUAGCGGCGGACGGGUGAGUAACACGUGGGUAACCUACCUAUAAGACUGGGAUAACUUCGGGAAACCGGAGCUAAUACCGGAUAAUAUUUCGAACCGCAUGGUUCGAUAGUGAAAGAUGGUUUUGCUAUCACUUAUAGAUGGACCCGCGCCGUAUUAGCUAGUUGGUAAGGUAACGGCUUACCAAGGCGACGAUACGUAGCCGACCUGAGAGGGUGAUCGGCCACACUGGAACUGAGACACGGUCCAGACUCCUACGGGAGGCAGCAGUAGGGAAUCUUCCGCAAUGGGCGAAAGCCUGACGGAGCAACGCCGCGUGAGUGAUGAAGGUCUUCGGAUCGUAAAACUCUGUUAUUAGGGAAGAACAUACGUGUAAGUAACUAUGCACGUCUUGACGGUACCUAAUCAGAAAGCCACGGCUAACUACGUGCCAGCAGCCGCGGUAAUACGUAGGUGGCAAGCGUUAUCCGGAAUUAUUGGGCGUAAAGCGCGCGUAGGCGGUUUUUUAAGUCUGAUGUGAAAGCCCACGGCUCAACCGUGGAGGGUCAUUGGAAACUGGAAAACUUGAGUGCAGAAGAGGAAAGUGGAAUUCCAUGUGUAGCGGUGAAAUGCGCAGAGAUAUGGAGGAACACCAGUGGCGAAGGCGACUUUCUGGUCUGUAACUGACGCUGAUGUGCGAAAGCGUGGGGAUCAAACAGGAUUAGAUACCCUGGUAGUCCACGCCGUAAACGAUGAGUGCUAAGUGUUAGGGGGUUUCCGCCCCUUAGUGCUGCAGCUAACGCAUUAAGCACUCCGCCUGGGGAGUACGACCGCAAGGUUGAAACUCAAAGGAAUUGACGGGGACCCGCACAAGCGGUGGAGCAUGUGGUUUAAUUCGAAGCAACGCGAAGAACCUUACCAAAUCUUGACAUCCUUUGACAACUCUAGAGAUAGAGCCUUCCCCUUCGGGGGACAAAGUGACAGGUGGUGCAUGGUUGUCGUCAGCUCGUGUCGUGAGAUGUUGGGUUAAGUCCCGCAACGAGCGCAACCCUUAAGCUUAGUUGCCAUCAUUAAGUUGGGCACUCUAAGUUGACUGCCGGUGACAAACCGGAGGAAGGUGGGGAUGACGUCAAAUCAUCAUGCCCCUUAUGAUUUGGGCUACACACGUGCUACAAUGGACAAUACAAAGGGCAGCGAAACCGCGAGGUCAAGCAAAUCCCAUAAAGUUGUUCUCAGUUCGGAUUGUAGUCUGCAACUCGACUACAUGAAGCUGGAAUCGCUAGUAAUCGUAGAUCAGCAUGCUACGGUGAAUACGUUCCCGGGUCUUGUACACACCGCCCGUCACACCACGAGAGUUUGUAACACCCGAAGCCGGUGGAGUAACCAUUUGGAGCUAGCCGUCGAAGGUGGGACAAAUGAUUGGGGUG
rnacentral:rRNA from 1 species